rnacentral:rRNA from 1 species
CCUACGGUAGGCUGCAGUAGGGAAUCUUUCACAAUGGGCGAAAGCCUGAUGGAGCAACGCCGCGUGCAGGAUGAAGGCUUUCGGGUUGUAUACUGCUUUUAUAAGGGAGCAAUAUGAUGGUAACUUAUGAAUAAGGAUCGUCUAACUACGUGCCAGCAGCCGCUGUCAUACGUAGGCACCGAGCAUUAUCCGGAGUGACUGGGUGUAAAGAGUUGCGUAGGUGGCAUAAUAAGUAGCUAGUGAAAUCUGGUGGCUCAACCAUUCAGACGAUUAGCUAAACUGUUCAGAUCGAGACCAUUAGGGGUAACUGGAAUUUCUAGUGUAGGAGUGAAAUGCGUAGAUAUUAGAAAGAACACCAAUAGCGUAGGCAGCUUACUGGGACAGUUCUGACACUAAGGCACGAAAGCGUAGGGAGCAAACGGGAUUAGAUACCCUUGUAGUC